CUUUUAUGAUGAAACAUUUCCUACAUUCGCAGUUUCCACUCUAUGCCCCGUCAGAGCCUUUCAGGGAUGCAAAUGAGAGCGAAUAACCUUCCUUGGAUGUCUGAUCCG
rnacentral:snoRNA from 1 species